rnacentral:rRNA from 1 species
GACCUCGGAUCAGGUAGGGAUACCCGCUGAACUUAAGCAUAUCAAUAAGCGGAGGAAAAGAAACCAACAGGGAUUACCUCAGUAACGGCGAGUGAAGCGGCAACAGCUCAAAUUUGAAAUCUGGCUCUUUCAGGGUCCGAGUUGUAAUCUGUAGAAGAUGCUUCGGGUGUGGCUCCGGUCUAAGUUCCUUGGAACAGGACGUCAUAGAGGGUGAGAAUCCCGUAUGUGACUGGUUGCCUUCGCCCAUGUGAAGCUCUUUCGACGAGUCGAGUUGUUUGGGAAUGCAGCUCUAAAUGGGUGGUAUAUUUCAUCUAAAGCUAAAUAUUGGCCAGAGACCGAUAGCGCACAAGUAGAGUGAUCGAAAGAUGAAAAGCACUUUGGAAAGAGAGUUAAACAGUACGUGAAAUUGUUGAAAGGGAAGCGCUUGCAACCAGACUUGCACCCCGUCGAUCAUCCCCCGUUCUCGGAGGUGCACUCGGCGGGGUUCAGGCCAGCAUCGGUUUCGGUGGUGGGAUAAAGGCCUUGGGAACGUAGCUCCUCUCGGGGAGUGUUAUAGCCCUCGGUGCAAUGCCGCCUACCGGGACCGAGGACCGCGCUUCGGCUAGGAUGCUGGCGUAAUGGUUGUAAGCGACCCGUCUUGAAACACGGACCAAGGAGUCUAAC